rnacentral:rRNA from 1 species
ACAGGAGCCAAGAGGGGCUGCUAGAGCUUUUCCUCCGCUUAUUGAUAUGCAUCGGCCCAUGCCCCUGUCCCCUGGAAAAGGGCAUCAUAGAGGGUGAUAAUCCCGUACAUGGCAUGGAGCGCCCGAAGCUCCGUGAUACGCUUUCUAAGAGUCGAGUUGUUUGGGAAUGCAGCUCAAAAUGGGUGGUAAAUGCCAUCUAAGGCUAAAUAUUGGGGAAAGACCGAUAGCGAACAAGUACGGUGAUGGAAAGAUGAAAAGAACUUUGAAAAGAGAGUUAAACAGUACGUGAAAUUGCCAAAAGGGAAGGGUAGGAGGUCAGACAUGCGUCGCAGGAUUCAGCCUUGCUUUUGCUUGGUGUUUUUCCUGCGUUGCAGGCCAACGUCGGUUUUGGGCACUGGAGAAGGGUAAGAGGACCGAGGCACCUCACGGGGUGUGUAACAGCCUCCUACUGGAUACCGCGUCCGAUACCUACGAACGCAGCGUACUAGUAAGAGCGGGCCUCUUGGCACCCUUACGCUUAGGGCGUUGGCAUAAUGGCCUUCUACCACCCGUCAUGAUCACGGACCAUUUUUUUCUUUUUUUUUUUUUCUUUUUUUUUUUUAAUUUUUUCUUUUUUUAUUUUUCUUUAUUUUUUUCACUUUUUCAUCUUUAUUAUAUUCAAUCUUUCUCUUCUUUUUCCUUCCUCCCUCCCUUCCCUCUUAUCUUCUUUUUUUAUUUUUUUAUUUUUUUCUCUUUUUAUUUUCUCUUUCUUUUGUUUCAUUUAUAAAUUCU